GUAGGUGGCAAGCGUUGUCCGGAAUUAUUGGGCGUAAAGCGCGCGCAGGCGGUUCUUUAAGUCUGAUGUGAAAGCCCACGGCUCAACCGUGGAGGGUCAUUGGAAACUGGAGAACUUGAGUACAGAAGAGGAAAGCGGAAUUCCACGUGUAGCGGUGAAAUGCGUAGAGAUGUGGAGGAACACCAGUGGCGAAGGCGGCUUUCUGGUCUGUAACUGACGCUGAGGCGCGAAAGCGUGGGGAGCAAACAGGAUUAGAUACCCUGGUAGUCCACGCCGGAAACGAUGAGUGCUAAGUGUUAGGGGGUUUCCGCCCCCCUUAGUGCUGCAGCUAACGCAUUAAGCACUCCGCCUGGGAGUACGGCCGCAAGGCUG
rnacentral:rRNA from 1 species